ACUAAGUACCUGCGCGGGCAGCAAAUGCCAGGUACUGGAGAGCUCUUCAAUCAAAUCGUGCAGAAGAUGGCACAGCGAGAGCCGGGCGCGCUCAGGGCGUGCACGGGGACCAGCGAGGAUGAUGAGGGGAGGACGGGGGGGGCUGCGUCAUCUCCAUCCUUCCCGGGGGCUGCAGGUGCUGCAGGAGCAGGGGCGCGGACCCCAUGCACCUCUCUGGCUAGCAGCCAUUUUCCCCGCACGGGAGCACUUCCUCCCCUAAUCUCUGCGGUGGCUGGCGUGCACUGUUGCCUUCUUGUGUUGCUUAGAGGGGAUUAAAACAAAUGAGCACAGUCCCUGCCCCGGCAGGCUGAGGGCAGGAGCAGCGCCGGGCGCGGGGCUUCGCUGUGUGCGAGGCACCUGGCUGCUGCAGCUGUGCUGGGCAGGAGCCCAGGUCGCUUGCAGGGGCAAACUGGAGCUCCCUGUUUAUUUAUCUGCCUGAAAAUGUAAACUGGACUGGGAGCUGCUUUGCCUCCAGCCCCAGCUGAUUUCACCCUGGUGCUGUGCUCUCCAGGCCCGGGCUGGAUCGCAGAUGCUCAUCCCACAAUUUGGCUUUCUCCCCGUCGGGGACCUCCUGCUUCUGGGGAUGAAGGCAAAUGUGAACAGUAGGGGAUACGUUUGCCGGAGAAGUGCGUGUCCUUCCGCUCCCAGCAGCUUUCCUGGGAGGAGCUGAGUGCAGGGAAGCCCCAUCCAAGCUCCAGCCGCCUCUCGGGCUGGAUAACCGGCCUCUGCCUCUUCCAGAGGCUGCGGCUGCGUCCUGGUGUCCUCAUCCUGGAGCGCUCCUCGGCAGAGCAGUCAGCGGGACCAGCCUGGGGAGGUUUUUGGGUGCCGAUGGAUGCUCUGCAGAUCUGAAAACUGAGCCCUGAGGUAUGGGGCCCUGGAUUUGGGGAUGCUUCUAAACCUGAACUGGUUUUACAGAGACCUGGGGGUGAGGCUGGGCAUUUCCCCGUCCUUCCUGCCCCAUGCGCCAGACCCCUGCUCACACCACACACAGUGUGCGGUGAACUCGGCGCUGGAGACACUCCUGGUAGCUUGCAGCAGGCUGUAACGCGUAUGGCUGGGAAGGGUUAACGCUGUAUGUGUGCUGCACAGUUGGAUAUUUAUUUUUCCAAGCAUGCGUCUGCUUUAAGCAUUACAGUUUUUCCCUGUAGUUACAUUUGCAGUUGUGUUUGCUUUUUAUUUCAGCAAAUACUUGGUUCCCGACCUGAGGCCGGGGCAAGGAGUGCUGGGUGAGGGGAAGGUUCUCCGCGUCCCCCGAGAGCUUUGCCUUUGCCGUGCC
rnacentral:lncRNA from 1 species